AACGAACGCUGGCGGCAUGCCUAACACAUGCAAGUCGAACGGGAUCCUAGCUUGCUAGGUGAGAGUGGCGGACGGGUGAGUAACACGUGGGAAUCUGCCUUUUGGUUCGGGAUAACCGCGGGAAACUGCGGCUAAUACCGAAUGCCCUCGAGAGAGGAAAGAUUUAUCGCCAGAAGAGGAGCCCGCGUCCGAUUAGGUAGUUGGUGGGGUAAAGGCCUACCAAGCCGACGAUCGGUAGCUGGUCUGAGAGGAUGAUCAGCCACACUGGGACUGAGAUACGGCCCAGACUCCUACGGGAGGCAGCAGUGGGGAAUAUUGGACAAUGGGGGCAACCCUGAUCCAGCAAUGCCGCGUGAGUGAUGAAGGCCUUAGGGUUGUAAAGCCCUGUCGCAGGGGAAGAAUAAGCAUCGGUAUAAUACGCCGGUGCCCUGACGGUACCCUGCAAGAAGCACCGGCUAACUCCGUGCCAGCAGCCGCGGUAAU
rnacentral:rRNA from 1 species